AACGGCCAUACCAUGCUGAAUAUACCGGUUCUCGUUAGAUCACCGAAGUCAAGCAUCAUUGGGCGCGGUCAGUACUUGGGUGGGUGACCACCUGGGAACGGCGCGUGCCGUU